rnacentral:rRNA from 1 species
GUGGGGAAUAUUGGACAAUGGGCGAAAGCCUGAUCCAGCAAUGCCGCGUGAGUGAUGAAGGCCCUAGGGUUGUAAAGCUCUUUUACCCGGGAUGAUAAUGACAGUACCGGGAGAAUAAGCUCCGGCUAACUUCGUGCCAGCAGCCGCGGUAAUACGAGGGGAGCUAGCGUUGUUCGGAAUUACUGGGCGUAAAGCGCGCGUAGGCGGUUUUUUAAGUCAGAGGUGAAAGCCCGGGGCUCAACCCCGGAAUAGCCUUUGAAACUGGAAAACUAGAAUCUUGGAGAGGUCAGUGGAAUUCCGAGUGUAGAGGUGAAAUUCGUAGAUAUUCGGAAGAACACCAGUGGCGAAGGCGACUGACUGGACAAGUAUUGACGCUGAGGUGCGAAAGCGUGGGGAGCAAACAGGAUUAGAAACCCUAGUAGUCC